GACUGAGGCUGUGCUCAAAUCAGUCAUUUAUCCAAGAGGAAGUCCCCAACAUGUGAUGGUAGGCUAUAAAGAGGAAUUUCCAUAAAGAAGAGUGUUCAGUCUUCUCUGCUCAAUCCAUGCUAUAUUAUGCUGAGUGCUUGACCUGAUUGUCUAGCUGGUGGAUUAAAGAUUACAGUCAUGGAGAAAUUUGCAUGACUGAUCCAGUGGCUUUUAAUGAUCAGGCUGCAUUUUCUGAAAACUUCACGGAAUAAGUCAGAUGAAAAGAAAAUGACUCAGGGCAGCUCUGGGACAUGGGCUGGCAACCAUCACGCCAAGAUGACAGCCACUUGUCACUAAUGUAAUAACCACAAGCAGUAUGACUCUUCUCCCUCUUUCUGUGGUUAGUGCAGAGGUGGCAAAG